rnacentral:rRNA from 1 species
GAGCUUGCUCCAUGAUUCAGCGGCGGACGGGUGAGUAAUGCCUAGGAAUCUGCCUGGUAGCGGGGGACAACGUGUGGAAACGCACGCUAAUACCGCAUACGCCUUACGGGGGAAAGCGGGGGACCUUCGGGCCUCGCACUAUUGGAUGAGCCUAUGUCUGAUUAGCUAGUUGGUAGGGUAAAAGCCUACCAAGGCGACGAUCAGUAGCUGGUUUGAGAGAAUGAUCAGCCACACUGGGACUGAGACACGGACCAGACUCC